rnacentral:lncRNA from 10 species
AGGGAGCUGAGAUUGUGCCACUGCACUCCAGCCUGGGUGACAGAGCAAGACUCUGUCUCACAAAAAAAAAAAAAAAAAAAAGGCCUGGCGCGGUGGCUCACGCCUGUAAUCCCAGCACUUUGGGAGGCCGAGGCGGGCGGAUCACGAGGUCAGGAGAUUGAGACCAUCCCGGCUAACACAGUGAAACCCCGUCUCUACUAAAAAUACAAAAAAUUAGCCGGGCGUGGUGGCAGGCGCCUGUAAUCCCAGCUACUGGGGAGGCUG